rnacentral:rRNA from 1 species
GACGGAGGAGGCGAUCGUUGCCCGGAUUCAUUGGGCUUAAAGCGUGCGUAGGCGGCUGUUUAAGCCCGUGCUGAAAUACACCGGCUUAACCGGUGGGGUGCUUUUGAAACUGCACAGCUUGAGUGCUAGCGAGGCAGGUGGAAUUGUCGGUGUAGCGGUGAAAUGCAUAGAUAUCGUGAAGAACACCGGAAGUGAAAACAGGAUGCUAGGGCGACUCUGACGCUGAGGCCCGAAAGCGUGGGGAUAAAACAGG